UGGGGAAUUUUGGACAAUGGGCGAAAGCCUGAUCCAGCAAUGCCGCGUGUGUGAAGAAGGCCUUCGGGUUGUAAAGCACUUUUGUCCGGAAAGAAAUCCUUGGCUCUAAUACAGUCGGGGGAUGACGGUACCGGAAGAAUAAGCACCGGCUAACUACGUGCCAGCAGCCGCGGUAAUACGUAGGGUGCAAGCGUUAAUCGGAAUUACUGGGCGUAAAGCGUGCGCAGGCGGUUUGCUAAGACCGAUGUGAAAUCCCCGGGCUCAACCUGGGAACUGCAUUGGUGACUGGCAGGCUAGAGUAUGGCAGAGGGGGGUAGAAUUCCACGUNUGAGCAGUGAAAUGCGUAGAGAUGUGGAGGAAUACCGAUGGCGAAGGCAGCCCCCUGGGCAAAUACUGACGCUCAUGCACGAAAGCGUGGGGAGCAAACAGGAUUAGAUACCCUGGUAGUCCACGCCCUAAACGAUGUCAACUAGUUGUUGGGGAUUCAUUUCCUUAGUAACGUAGCUAACGCGUGAAGUUGACCGCCUGGGGAGUACGGUCGCAAGAUUAAAACUUAAAGGAAUUGAC
rnacentral:rRNA from 1 species